UGGUAUGUACUGGUCUCACUGAUUCCUCCUUCCUGAUGAGCCGUAAUGCCAUUAAUUUGGUGUUGCGGGGAAUUUGGACUGUUACUUUGAAAAAAUUAGAGUGUUUAAAGCAAGCUAACGCUUGAAUACAUUAGCAUGGAAUAAUGAAAUAGGACGUUCGAUCCUAUUUUGUUGGUUUCUAGGAUUGACGUAAUGAUUAAUAGGGAUAGUUGGGGGCAUUAGUAUUCAAUUGUCAGAGGUGAAAUUCUUGGAUUUAUUGAAGACUAACUACUGCGAAAGCAUUUGCCAAGGAUGUUUUCAUUAAUCAAGAACGAAAGUUAGGGGAUCGAAGACGAUCAGAUACCGUCGUAGUCUUAACCAUAAACUAUGCCGACUAGGGAUCGGAUGAUGUUAAUUUUUUAAUGACUCAUUCGGUGCCUUACG
rnacentral:rRNA from 1 species